rnacentral:rRNA from 1 species
UACGGAGGGUGCAAGCGUUAUCCGGAUUUACUGGGUUUAAAGGGUGCGCAGGCGGAUAUGUAAGUCAAUGGUGAAAUCUUUGGGCUUAACCCGAAAAUUGCCAUUGAUACUAUAUAUCUUGAAUGCUGUGGAGGUAAGCGGAAUAUGUCAUGUAGCGGUGAAAUGCUUAGAGAUGACAUAGAACACCUAUUGCGAAGGCAGCUUACUACGCAGAUAUUGACGCUCAUGCACGAAAGCGUGGGUAGCAAACAGG